ACGGGUGGUAAUGCCGGAUGCUCCGACUCCUCGCAUGGGGUGUCGGGAAAGAUUUCAUCGGUAUGGGAUGGGGUCGCGUCCUAUCAGGUAGUCGGCGGGGUAACGGCCCACCGAGCCUACGACGGGUAGCCGGCCUGAGAGGGCGACCGGCCACAUUGGGACUGAGAUACGGCCCAGACUCCUACGGGAGGCAGCAGUGGGGAAUAUUGCACAAUGGGCGCAAGCCUGAUGCAGCGACGCCGCGUGCGGGAUGACGGCCUUCGGGUUGUAAACCGCUUUUGAUCGGGAGCAAGCCUUCGGGUGAGUGUACCUUUCGAAUAAGCACCGGCUAACUACGUGCCAGCAGCCGCGGUAAUACGUAGGGUGCAAGCGUUAUCCGGAAUUAUUGGGCGUAAAGGGCUCGUAGGCGGUUCGUCGCGUCCGGUGUGAAAGUCCAUCGCUUAACGGUGGAUCUGCGCCGGGUACGGGCGGGCUGGAGUGCGGUAGGGGAGACUGGAAUUCCCGGUGUAACGGUGGAAUGUGUAGAUAUCGGAAAGAACACCA
rnacentral:rRNA from 1 species